AGAGUUUGAUCCUGGCUCAGAACGAACGUUGAUGGCGUGCCUCAUACAUGCAAGUCGAGCGCCCCGCAAGGGGAGCGGCGGACGGGUGAGUAACACGUAAAGAAUCUGCCCUGAAGCGGGGAAUAACUAUCCCAACGGAUAGCUAAUACCGCAUAAUGAUGGAGAAGGCAUCUUCUCUUCUCAAAAGGCUUCGGCCACUUCAGGAUGACUUUGCGUCCCAUUAGCUUGUUGGCGGGGUAACGGCCCACCAAGGCUACGAUGGGUAUCCGGCCUGAGAGGGUGUACGGACACAUUGGGACUGAGAUACGGCCCAGACUCCUACGGGAGGCAGCAGUAGGGAAUUUUGCGCAAUGGGGGAAACCCUGACGCAGCAACGCCAUGUGUGGGAUGAAGCAUUUCGGUGGGUAAACCACUGUCAGCGGGGAAUAAACGGCAGCUUCGGGCUGCUUUGAAUGUACCCGCAAAGGAAGCCCCGGCUAACUUCGUGCCAGCAGCCGCGGUAAUACGAGGGGGGCAAAUGUUGUUCGGAAUCACUGGGCGUAAAGGGAGCGUAGGCGGGUUUUUAAGUUAGGUGUUUAAUCCCGGGGCCCAACCCCGGACCGGCACUUAAAACUGGGAAUCUUGAAUAGUGGAGAGGUCGGUGGAAUUGGGGGUGUAGCGGUGGAAUGCGUAGAGAUCCCCAAGAACACCAGUUGCGAAGGCGGCCGACUGGACACAUAUUGACGCUGAGGCUCGAAAGCAUGGGGAGCAAACAGGAUUAGAUACCCUGGUAGUCCAUGCCAUAAACGAUGAAUACUAGGUUUUGGGCCCGUCAACGGUCCAGAGCCGCAGCUAACGCGUUAAGUAUUCCGCCUGGGGAGUACGGUCGCAAGACUGAAACUCAAAGGAAUUGACGGGGGCCCGCACAAGCGGUGGAGCAUGUGGUUUAAUUCGACGCAACGCGA
rnacentral:rRNA from 1 species